GAUAAUAGGAGAAAAUGUAUAGGGGAAAUUCCCAAUGUGUAGGUCAGUUAAAAGAGGCAAAAGAAAUUUGCGAAGUUCAGCAAGGCCUGCUAAGAUGUCUUGAGAAGGGGGAAAUUAAUUCAAGAACUAUCUCCAUAAACUUUAAUUAUGAUUGUGAACUGAAACUUUGCACUGGUAUCACUGGAUUCCCCGUAUACAAUUGACGUGGGUAAUAAUAAUUGCUUUGUAAGAUCGUAAAUAUUUUUUGGUGCUGCUGCCACAGAAGGCGAGAUGCAGCUGCACGCAUUUGUGGUGGUGGAGGAGAGAUCAGUAGAACAAAAGAAUGUGUCAUGAGAACAAAAUUAUGUCUGGUGGGGUCCAGUGCUUCUCGGUGACAUGAUCUUUGAAGGAAGGUGUGACACACCACAGUUCAAGUCCAUUAAUUCAACCUUGAACAGACCCAACAGAAUUGGUUGACUUAUUCGGGGGGUAGAAUUGAAAGUAAAGGCAGGAAAAAAAUUAUGUCGGAACAGACCCAGAUAUGUUUGGCUAAGUGGUUAUACACUGUGGGUUGCCGUUUUUGCCCAAAAUGUUGCUCAAGACACCAAUGUACUUAUGUGUAUCCUCAACAUAAGCCUCAUGCCUAACAAAUAGUUCUGAAGCAUCCACUCUGGUCUCGAUAUCUGCUACGCUUGGACACACAGUGGUGCCAUCAGCGAUUCAUUGCUAUUCUCGUUCUUGCUGCCAAUCAUGCUACCGGUCACAGAAUACAAAAUCGCAUUGGUUAUAAAAGGAACGCCACUCCAGAGUCGGCAUAUAUAAACUCCUCGAUGAAAACCUUUCCGAGGGCUGGGUGAAAAUUGUUGUCUUUGGUGAAAGAUUGGGUUUUCAGUCUCCUUUUGAUACAUUUUCUGAAACUACUUGCAAUAGUCCCUGGCUUAACGAACUCCCAUGCACAGGCAGCGGUUUGCAUAGCAGUGAUUAACUUCGUAUUCUUUGUUGUUUUAGAUGCACAUGAUCAUUUCCUGAAGAAUAGUCGCCUUGUGCAAGACAUUCAAGUUCCUUUUUUCUCUCUGGUCUAGUGGUUACAUGAUUGCUGUUAGGUCAGGUGGAAGGAACCUGAGGCGUAUUGCUGUCAGCUCUUCCAUGUCAAUGUGUACACAUCAGGUUAUUGACAAUGAAAACUGCACUUUAUGUAUGGAUUUAUGACCCAGUUUAAUAAUACAUUUGUAGAAAAGUUCAGCUGUCAUUCAAGCUUUCAAGUCCACAACAUAGUCAAUUGGAAGUGUUUUCACUCCUUUGGAGCACUGUGGCCUGGAAACCUUCCGUAGAACGAGCAAGUGGCAUUUCUUUGUGUUCGUCAUCCUGGCAUCAAGCAGCACAGUUAGUCGCUCCUUGCUUCCUUUUUCACCAACACAUUUGUCAUUCUUGAAGGGGCCCUGAACCACCUCUCGGGCUUGGCGAAACAACAUAGUCUGUGGGUAGCAUAGGCUGCUGUGCACAUCUCAGCCAAGUUUUGCUGUUGUACGCGGUGUGUGGAGCACUGUACGCGGUGUGUGGGCUUGUGGCCACAAGUCCACUGGCUAAGCGCACUGCGGCUUGCUGAGGACAGCCGCAUUUGGCUUAAGUUUGGCGCAUUGUAGGCACCAAAAGGAAGUUGUGGCAUCUACGCAUUAACAUCCAAAAUGAAAUUUGAACUGCGCACCUCGGUGGCAUUUAGAAGGUGGAGCGUUAUGGGCACGCUCCACUCUGCCAUAGCCUUUGCAGUGCAAGGAAUUGAAGAAGGAACGGGAGCACAGUGGAGGCGUGUUUGAUUUCUAAUGACUCCACUUCUGCUGAAUGCAUCAAAGUACUUUUUGCAGCAACAUAUUUUCGAAAUAGCCUAUUUUCACUUCAAAUGCCUUUCUACACUUCGAUAAAAAGGGGUUCAGGGCCCCUUUAUAUGCUAUUGUUUUCUUUGGUAGCAUCCUGUAAUAAAGGGCACUUUCAUCAGCAUUAAAUAUGUCCUUUAGACCUCUCAGAAUCAGUGUUCGUGCGUUUUGCUGCAUACUGGCUUGAACGUCACUUUAUGCCAGCUUUUAAACAGAGGUAGCCAGUUAUUUUAAUCAUCAAAGUCUUGAGUGUUUAGCAUGGCUGCAAAUUCCUGAGCAUUUUCACUGAUUAGAGGACUGCAUGGGGACUAACUUUGACUCUACAUUUUGCUAGUCCAGAACUGCUUCAUCAUUGAGGUGUGCUGAAGUUCACAUCCACUUUCUGUCCCUAUUAAAGUUAUGCUUUUGGUGAGCUUCAAGAAUCUUCUCUUUGUUGGCAAUGAACGUUACAAGGGUACUCUUCCUUAUGCCAUUCUUUUCGGCAGUCUGCCUUCUUGCAAGCAUGCCUUGGCAAUAUCACCACUUUGGUACUAAUAGAAAGCACUGUGUACCUUCAAGGUGUUGCCAUUCUGCACUGAUGCUGUUUCACUGGCUGAUUGCUACAUGUGACUUGAAAUGUCCCGUCUUGUCACACUUAACAAACUGGACUACGUGGAAUGCUUCAAUAACAUAACGACCAUGUGAAACCAAUAGUGAAUUGCAGAUAAAACAGCCAAAUCCACCUACCACAUUAGAGGGGCCUUAUUUUGCAUUGCAUUGUGGCACCAACUUGCAGACUCGGAGAGAUGCAAAAUGGCGAACAUCCAGCUGCUGCAAUGGCAGACGCACUUCAUGAAGCGAGUUGAAAUGUUUUCUUUUUAUCAGCCACUUUAGUGGUCUUCAUUUUGCAUCAAAGGAUGCUUUCUAGGCAGGACACAUGCCAACAAGGAUGAGUUAUCACUGUAGGAUGGGCUUUUGUAUUGGCAAGGCUGUGUGAUCGACAACUGAGUGAAGACAUCACACCGACAAUGCAAUUGCUGCAAUGCCUGCAUUUGCAUAUUUAGUCACACUUAUAGAAAUCAUGAAACAUAAUUUAAAAGUUGAAAUGUUUGGACUUCUACUUUGGACUUCUACAUCUGAGAGUAGCUUUCUUGACGAGACUUUUCGGCUGCCAGGGUGGCACAAGGUGCAAUCGCUUACUAGUCAAGUUUCAAUUAUCUGCUGUAGUUCAAUUUCAGGAUUGAAAUAACAAAAGUCUUCGCUCAUAGAAAUGCUUGGGUGCUGGCCAGCAUUUUCCAUUGAAUUCGAAUUAAUCGAAUAAUUUAAUUAGUUGGAGUGGAAUUAACAGAUGUGUACUGUAGUACCGUGGCUUUAAAAGAGACUGUGUUGGCUGCUGUUGCCUGUGUUAAGGGGCAAACUGUGACAUGGAGGAUAGGUACAGUGCUUGCCUGACAAAACUGGCACAAUAUUUGUGGCACUUGCACAUUAACUUCGAUAUUUUGUUAGCUUUGCUGGUUUUUAGUCAAUUAUUCUGCAGUCACAUUGGUCUGCUAGGAAUUUCUCAUUUGUUCUUACCAUGGGUUGAGCAAGGAUCAGGAGUCAUGUAUUUUCGGUCAUCCAUGAUGCGUGUAGGAUAAGUUGGUUAUAUUUUAAUGACUCCAGCUUCUACUUUGAUUGUUUAACCACCAGGAAUAUGUGGCAAGGCUGUCAUGCACAUAUUGCCUUGCAUUUACAUUUCUUGGGUGCAGGUACUGGGCAUGACAGCAUUAAAAAGCACUGUGUAAGAGAACCAGCCAUAAUGAAAUGAUCAUUAUCCUAAAAGGUGCUCUUGAGGUGUUCACUACCAAAAAAAUCUAGGCAUGAGUCUCAUUUUAACUACAAUCGAGCCCACUUAUAACAAUCUCAGUAAUAAAGAAUGCUCGGAUAUUAUGAACAAACACACUGCAACUGUAACAACUUGCUAUUGGGUAGUGGUGCCGUGUCCUAGACAAUGAAUUCGAUACAUGGACCCAGAACUCUGUUGUAACGAACUCACAAGCAUAUGUCAUGUGCCAAGGAAAGCAUCGCUUUGCUUUUUACUGUGCAUAGCCCACUGAGGUACAAUCUUCUAAGUAGCAUACUCACGAAGCUGAUAGUGAAGCUAACACAAAGCACACAACCUUGAGGGUCUGUUUUAAGCUUCACUUCAUUUUUAUUAUAUUCAAAUGCUUGUCAGCUUCCUCGGUAACUUAAAGUUUUAAUCUACACACUGUCUUUUGAAUUUUUGUAACUUUCAGCUUGUAUGAAGAACACACUAUAAUGCUCAAGAAAAAUGGACUGGAGUGAAUGAACCUCAAAGCUUGAUUUUACACCCUUUCAAUCUUUUUCAUUAGUUGUUGGUAAGGGCUUUAGAUAAAGUCGGAGUGCUCUAGUUCCAGUCUUGUGAGAGUUUUGUACACAGUAAGUUUUGCUGUCAGUGAUGUAUGAAUGUAGCUUAUGUUUUAGAAAUGCUAGCUUUUUUAACUUGCUGCUAUGUUUGUUAUCAAUUUGCAGCUUCCAGCCUAGAUAGUUCACUAGUGUACUUUUUACUUAUUGAUUUUCACAUGUUUUCUAUAAUUAUUCAUUUUAUUCCUCAGUGUAACUUCUGUCUGCUGUGCACUUAUCUUACUUAUGAUGAAAACGGGGAGCUCCCACCACCAACUUCGAACACAAGCCCAAAUGCUUAUAUAUUGCUGAGGUGCUGAGUUUUCACCUGAAGCUUCAGUGAUAAAUGAUCGCAUGUCAUCUAUAAACUGCCUAAAAACUGUGCUUAUUGAUAAACAUUGAAAAAAGAAACUUCAGUUGCUGACUCUUUUUGACAAACAUUAGUUUCAUUCUUUGCCUUCUUUUUACGCAGUCCACUUAUUAUGAACAUUUGGAAGUAGUGAACACAUCCUUAAUAACAAUGAUAUUGAUUGUAAAUGGGCUCGACUGUAAACAGAACGAGUGAGACAGUGUAAAAAUGUUCUGGCUCAAAAGUGUGAGUGCAGGUAUUAAAACAGGCAGUUCAUCAUGUUCCCAGGUGAUAAAUCUAUUACCUCCCACGGUGCCAUUAAAAAAUUUAACAAACCUGUUACUCUGUGCCACUGGCUAGCUGUAUGUUAUUUGGGUGAGGCUGAUCAGAUGUCAAUGUAUGACUCGUCGGCAGCAAAGAGGAACAAAUGCAGGGUUGUGCAACCUGCAAGUUACUUUCCGUAGGACAGAUUUGUUGCCUACCCGGUUUAUCUAGGAACCUGUUCAGAGGUGGGAGCACAUUGUGUAUGUGUUCUUUUAAGUAUGCAAUCCUGCCGGCAACUUUGUGUGGUUGUUUCUAAGACGUCCUACCAUGCAGUUGAACAAAGCUGUCAGCAGCCGUAGCUCAGCAGCUAGGGGUGCUGAGCUACUAAGAAAUUGUGCUAUAAUUGGUUGGCGACUGUAUUUGUAUUCUUUUGGAAAAACUUUUGCGCUAAACUGGGAGCAAAUGAAAGCUUUUUAAAAUCUUGGUGUCACUACGACAAUCGUAAGCAAGCAAAAGAAAUGUUUAAUUUGAUAAAAUUGUAAGUGAUGGCAGAUAUGUCAAUCUCAAGAGGUUUAACUUCCCUAUCCUGAUAUCCGAGAUGUUACACAGCCAUGUUCAUGAGUUGGUGUGAGAAUAGCAGAUUCUGUUUAUCCAGCACAAGUGCAGUAGCACCUCAUUGAUAUGAUCUGGUUAAGUACAAUUUUCCGGUGCCAACAGUUGCGAUCAAGAACACUAAAAAUGACCCAAUACAUUUACACUGCUUUUUCACCAGUUCAUAUAUUUCCAAAGAACACUGAUCUUUCAGCACCAAUGUUCAGUACAUUGCCCAAGUGCGAUCGUACGAUACAUUUUCUGGCCGCUAGAUCCCCUGUAAACAAGAAAAGGCGGCGCACACAAUAUAUAAGAGUAGCCACCCAGUACAGCAGCUUCCAGGCAAUACUCGCCUGCCCAUCUCGUGUGAAAACACCGGCGUGCACUCAGUUUCUUAUCCAGCAAAUCUCCUCCCAAGUUGUCGCAGGCUGCAUUGUGAUAAACAUCUUCACCUAUCUGUUUCACAUUGCGUGGGGAACAGUGCUGUUGGAAAUGUACUGUAUGCAUUUAAUAGCUGCAUGCAAUAAGAAAAUUACUACAUGCAUCUCGGGUCACUUAGGCCCCACCAGCUUGGUGCACGUGAGCAUCUUGCGCCGAGUGGGCAUGUCAAAACUUCCAACCAGAACACCUCACUCGAAGAAGCCGUUGACCCAGGCCAUAAUUGAGGAGGGCAAACGUAAACUUGCUCAAGCUGUAAAAACAACAACCCUGCCAUCAGCUCGGUCCGCCUUGGUGCACCAUGCUGUGCAACGCUUCACAUUAUGUAGAUGUGAACUACAGUUGAGCUUGUGAAAUCUUUUAGUGGCUUCGGAUUUAUGUUUUCCUGGUCGAUAAGGUGGUUCUAGGGUUAUUUUUUUUUCUAAAACGUAUGAAUGAAGUUCUACUUCAUUCAUACUUCAUUCAUAACUGUUGCAUUCUGCUUUGAUGCAGCAACACCUAUAGAGUAGAACUGCUCUAAUACGUUUUUCGCAGGAUUGUGGGGAGAAAAAGACGUAAUAGCCUGGUAAUGUAUUAUGGGAACAUGCUGUUAAAAUCAUGCGAACAUACUGUAGAACCUCGAUAAAUAGAACCUCAAGGGACCAAAGAAAUAGGUUCCAUUUAACAGGAGUUUCAAUUACUGAGAAAGAUGAGUAAGGAUGCAGCACUGUGUGCAUACGCCUUUUUAAUACCGUUUUAAGGAAUUAUAAGCACCAGGAGGUGAAUGUAGCAAUAGGUUUUCGGAAAGCGGAGAAAAUUACAUAGGGUGUUGGCACAGCAUUCACAAAAUUUAUUAUGCAGCUACUAGUCACUGUUCAUUAAAAAAUGCAUCAAUUCUUGCUUGCUUCAAUCUUUGAAGGGAAAUAGUGCUCCCUAUAAAACACAAGCUUUGCACAAACAUUUCAGAUCCUGGUUCUUUCUGAAAAAUACUCUCGAGUCUGCAAAGCUAAUUCUGCACAUUAAAGUAUGGUAGCUUCUUCUGUGGUGGGUACCUCUUCAGAUGUCUCCUCUUGUUCAUCUGCUUCAUCGCAGACCUCUGCAGCAGUGCUUUCUACUUGUUAUCUGGUUAAGAAGUUGUAAGUUCACUGUCAAUGUACGCAUGCUUGUCAAAAUUCAGUGGGAAUUCCCUUAUAGUCUAAUAAGCCCUGCUUCUAAGUGGCAUCAUCUUUACUGUCACAUUCAAGCAAAUCCUGCACGUCGGAAGUCUAGACCUUCAAAGAAAAUCCUGCAUGCCAUAAGCAAUUUGCUAUGGUACUUGCCGUCAGUUGCCUCCAGGCGUUGUCAAUGAGGUAAAUGGCACGAACAGUGUCCAGCUUGUAUUCUUUGUCCUGGUUCAUGCAUACCAGCAUCCUCUGCAGGAGACAGUUGCAUCGUGAUGGACUGUUUUCAGCAUUUUGGUUCUAUUUUCAGUUCCGUUUACAGGGUAGUGAGGAAGUUUUGGUUCCCAUUACCAAAAGCUUUUUUUUUUUAUAUUCUUUAAAUACAAAACCAACCUAUUGAGAGGUGAUUGUUUCAGUUAGGUGAUUUCUGUUUACUGAGAUUUUACUGUACUGCUAAAUAUUAACAGAGACAUGCAUUGGCUCACAUUGCAAAGGAUUUAUUCAGCAGUCAAGUUCUGAGAGAAUUUCUUAUUAAAGCUCAGUGUUUUUGCCAUAUGGUAGCCUGCAUUGCCGAUAUGGUCAACGUAACUUUUCCAGCAUGUCCAGCACUGUGACAGCGUUUAACAAAACGACCUACCAUGUGGGAGUGAUGACAUAUCAAAUGGAAUUCUAAUAGUGUACGGCUGUCUAUGUGCUUUUUACCGGGACUGGACUUCAACGACAUUAUACCCAGGAAGGCGUAUGGGCGGAGAAUGCAUCAGUGGGGCUGUACUUUAGCUAUAUUUAGUGGUGCAUUGACCUAAGUUGGAACAUAGCAUCCUAGGGCUAGCCAGAUGUGGUUGCCUUGCAAGCCAGGGUUGAUAAAUUAACAACCUUUUACUGUAUUUCAAUACGAAUACUAAUGGUUGAAUUCUGUUUAGUGUGCUACAUCAAACUUGUAUUAUAAUUAGCGGUAUCUGUGUGGCCACUCUACUCUAAGCUUCAAAAACUUCACACACCUGCGUAUUUUGUCAAGUAAGGCAGUUGGGGAACUCAUGCCUUUCUUUUAAACUGUACAUUAUUGUUGCAAGCCACAGGUUUAUUUUGUAAUGAAAAAUUGAUAAUGUGAGCUGUCAAGAGUUGUCAUUUUGUGCUUAUGGCUGUAUGUUGUCAUUUGUGUCCAAGUUGUUCUUUAAUUUUACUUGGACAUUAAUUGACCUUGUGGACAAAACCAAUUUUUGGCUUGCUGGACAUCUUGUGGUUAAUGUACUGGAACGGGACCAUGUUGACUUUACACUUUGUAACCUUGACCACACCAUUUCAACUAACAGAAGGGUGCUUUAUGCGCGAGAUCCUCUUAUAACUGUUUAGUUGUCUGGUUUCAGAAUGGUUGAUUAGUAGGCCUUGGAGGCUGCCCUACAGCAGAACAUUUCCCAUUGGCCCCUGUUUUACCAGAUGCUUUACCAAAUGUUUUACCCUUUGAAGAAAAUCCGUGGGUGGUUGCUCCUUCUGCUAAUGUUAUUUGAUAGAUGUGUUUGUCUCUGCCUUUUGAAGGCAUCCAAAGCAGCUCCGUUCAGGACUGCUUAUAUAUGUGACCCUGUGUGCAGUGCAGAAAAAGACACUUUGCAUUUACUGAUGCACAGGGCUUGAGUAAUUUAGUCUUUUCGUCGGGCAUGGUUAAAAUGACUUCCAUGAGUGGCAGUUUGACAGCAUGCCUCGCUACAUUAGGUCUUUGGAGAAGACCUUGUAGUCAUUCUCACAUGACCAACACAUGGCAUUUAUAUAUUUAAAUGAGCUCUACUCACUGCUCUUCUCGGUGAUUGGGUUUGUGUGAGAGAGUGAGUUUAAUGUUGGAAAGAAUUGGAAGACCACAUCGGGGCAUUGGUUUUCAUUGCAAGCAGUUUCAUGUUCUUGUUUGCUUCAUGUGAACCUGGCAUUAGCCUUUCUUAGGCAUAUCACAACCUUAACGAAACUACAGUCUACCAUUACCAAGACUUCUUAAAUUUAAGCACACUCUUGGACUAUAGUACAGAAUAUGUUUGUACUUCAUUUAUCAGGGGAUUUGGACUUGAGCUGCAAGUUGGUUCAUUCAACCAGCAUUGGAGAAGAGGCUUUUCAGAGCUCUUCAAGGCUGACUUCUGACAAAGAUGCCUCAGGGUGACAAAGGAGUGUCAACAAAUUUAGUGAGGUGCAUUAGCAACUGCCACUUCCCUGUUUCCUAGAAAAUCUUGGAAGAUUAUAGGUGUGUGUGCCCAAUGGAUGGCAUCUGUGGGCUGUUGUGCUUCACGUUAUGUCAUCACUGAUGUUGCCUAAGGCAAAAAACAAAACAAAAAACAAUCGUAUGGAAAGCCAUGGAAGAGUGCAAGCAAUCGAUUAUGCGAGAUACUAGGUUCUUUGCUGCAUUCAUUGGAAAAAUAUCUCGCUCUCGUGUUCAUGGAGGCAUUGGCUACACAUAGAGAACAUUUUCUUACCGUGUUCAGAAAGUGUUUUAGCGUCCCUUUAUAUGGCGAGUCUAAAAUUUCAGCAGGCGUUUAAUGCUACAUUAGCAAUUAGUGCUCUGUUGCAACAAAUGCAGUUGCUGUGUAUGAUUCAAAUGCUCGAAACAGGCAUGGAGCCCCAGUCAGCUUUGCCUUCUCAAUACGAAACACUGUAUUUGAAGAGUGUCAGUUUGUUUCUUUGCUGUCUGCUGGAAUCAUUUCAAAGUAGUUACUUGUGGCAUGUCUGAUAGAAUGCCCCUUUUUUUUGCCUAGUAUAUGCUAACAGAAGGCUUUUUGAGAAUGUUUUUCACUGGAGCAGUCAUAGGCGUGAAAGCAGCCAGCCAUACCAACAGCUUGGUAGCUAAAUGAAGGAACUCAACUGCUGCUUUAAAAGAUCAGAAUGGGCCCUGCCUUGGAGGACUGUAGUAUUCACAGUGUUGUGUAUGGCGUAGUGCACUUGGUUAUUUUUUUUUCUCAUUUACAUGUCUAUAGCAGAACAUGUUCCAAGUGCAGCUGAACAGCAUGACCAGCCAAAUCGCAUAUACCUCUCGACUAACCAGUAUUAAUGUGAUGUUUUGAUGAGGCCGUGAAAACUACUGGACAUGCAGAAAGACAGUUUUGCUGCAUAAUUCGGCAGGUAGCAUGGUGUCAUAAGAGAGCCAGGAGAAAGUACAACUGAAGCAAAAGUAAUGCACGACUGCCUGCUGCUGGUUUUAGGGCUCUUUCAUAAGCAGAGUGCCAUCUCAAGUUGUGUGUAUUGAAGGGACGGUAUUUUUGUACUACACCAUGCCGUUUUGUAAUGCAUUUCUUUCUUUUUGUACUAAAUGGCAUAUAAGAGCUGGUUGAUACUACCAGCUGCUCUCACAGGGUUAGUGGAUGGGCCGAUUCAGGUUAUCCACUGUUGCACCUUUUAUAUAGUGUGCUGAAGAAGCCCAAAGCAUAGACUUGUGGCUUGAGCAAGUUUCGCUGGAUCGAAACAGCUGAAGCCUUUUUAACUUUCCUCAAGCCCUCUUAAAUCCCAUGAUUCCAGAGUCCCAGGUUUCUUCUUCUUGCUUUUCUUUUGGCCACCUUAUCGUGGAGUUGUGGCACCUAGAUAGCAUGCCUAUGGAAAAGAACCUACCUGAGAUUUUCAUAAUCUCAAGUAGAAACACAGACAUCUUAAGGGGGCGCUUGUUUUGUAUGCUGAACUACAUUCUUUUCUAGUCCAUUGGUUUGGCAUUUUGUGUGUGAAUGCAUGUGUGUGUGUGUUUCCUCUGUUAUUGCACAGUGCCUUUGGCUGGUUGCCAACAUACGCAGGCACAUGGUCAUCAGUCAUUGUAGGAUCAGUCUUAGCUGAGCUAAGCCACUCUGAUUGAGUAAAGUCACCUGACAUGUUCUUUGUGCCUGUUUUUAAAUAAGCUGUUGUUGAGCAUCCGGCAUAUUGUUUGUUGUCUUCUAUGGUUUUCUUUUUCUUCUUUUGUGUCAAUGCACUUGUUUUGAAGACUAUGUCUGCUUCCGUUUUGUGCAAGUCAAGUAUACUGCGCAAAUAAACUACAGAAGUUAGCAUUGCUCUGUAACGCUACUGGCUUUUAAGGUAAAUUGACAGCUCCUUGAAAGAGCACUUGUUCAAGGGUUUGUUUGCACGAACUUAUGUUUUACAGUGCACAAUAAAUGAAUAUAUCACGUGA